rnacentral:rRNA from 1 species
AGUGAACGCUGGCGGUAGGCCUAACACAUGCAAGUCGAACGGCAGCACAGUAAGAGCUUGCUCUUACGGGUGGCGAGUGGCGGACGGGUGAGGAAUACAUCGGAAUCUACUUUUUCGUGGGGGAUAACGUAGGGAAACUUACGCUAAUACCGCAUACGACCUACGGGUGAAAGCAGGGGAUCUUCGGACCUUGCGCGAUUGAAUGAGCCGAUGUCGGAUUAGCUAGUUGGCGGGGUAAAGGCCCACCAAGUCGACGAUCCGUAGCUGGUCUGAGAGGAUGAUCAGCCACACUGGAACUGAGACACGGUCCAGACUCCUACGGGAGGCAGCAGUGGCGAAUAUUGGACAAUGGGCGCAAGCCUGAUCCAGCCAUACCGCGUGGGUGAAGAAGGCCUUCGGGUUGUAAAGCCCUUUUGUUGGGAAAGAAAAGCAGCAGGUUAAUACCCCGCUGUUCUGACGGUACCCAAAGAAUAAGCACCGGCUAACUUCGUG